AUAACUUACUUAGUUCAGAAAAUUGGGAAAUACAUGUUCGUUUUGGGUUUCUUCACUUUGCAUGAUAUAAACAAAAACUUUAAACUAAAAUUAAAUCAUUAUGACAGGAUAAAGGAGUGAAUAAAACAUGGAUUCAUGCACAUUAGGGCGUCCAAACUGUAGACCCACGAUGUUAAGAGGAUAAUACCAGAAAAGAGAAACCAGGAAGCAUCAUUUCCUCAGGAGUCAUAUGGCAACAAAGUAAAGAAGAUUUUUUUUUGCAUGGUUUUAUCUCAAAUUUAGCAACAUUUUUUGCAUGUUUACAACAAUUAAUAAAACAUGCAAUUUUAGAUCAUUCUAAAUUUUUAGUAUGUUUUGGAAGGCAUAUCGCGACCCCCCCCAUCCGUGUCUUGCGACCCCUCCCUUUGGGAACCUCUGCUAUAUAAUAAACUACUAGUGUAUCUUUUCUGAUGAAUAAGCAAAUAUGAUGCUCUACUCUACUCUCUAGAUUAAGUGAAUAUGCCACUGCCGCUUUGUCAUACUUAUCCAAGAACUUUUUCUCAAAUCCCUCCAAUGGGAGAACUUCCUGACCUCCCUGUAUCUUAAAAUUCAGGCGUACAUACCUGUGAUGUGUAUUGUAGACCUGAUAAAGGCCUCUUUCCUUGUUCUAUUUCCUCAACCUGCAGCAACAGGCUGCUAUCAAAGUGGAAAUCUCAAUGCGAAGCUAUGUAAACAUAAAUAUAGUAUAGAGCCCUGUGGUACUGCAUUAACUCUUGAUAUUAACACUAAUGCAAAUUUAGUUAGCAAUUUUGAUGCUGAGAUAAGAGUUCAAUCUGCUUGGUUUGCAUUUCACCUGCUUGUACCACUUUCCUUAUGUUGUGGAUGUGAUUCAUGUAAUGAGAGGCCAUGUGUUUGUGUGUUAUAAUUAUGCUUAAACCUGCAUGUGUGUGAGUCAUAGCCUCCACCUCUUCUACAGGUCUGUGGUUUGUGUAUUGAAACAGGAAAUCACCCGGCCCUUAGCUGAUGCGCGGGGUCGUUUUGAUGGACAGCUGUGGACUUGACGCUGCCAAUAACAACAACAACAACAACAACAAAAAGCCAGCCCCUAAUGACAUAAAUGUAAAGUCCAUCUCUGUGAAAAUGGGUGGCUUUGAAAAUCAGACAGCAUGUUAUUAAAACAAAAUCAUUGCUGGCACCCUGCUGGCACGCCAUUGUUGUGAUGCUGGUUGUUCAAAGGCAGCGAUGAUGAAGAGAUGGAGGAAGAAGGGUGUAGCAGAGGGCCGAAAAAGGGAAAAGCAAGGCACAACCAGCAGGCCGUAGAUGAAACAGGACAUGGAGCAUGCGGAGGAGGUCAAGCAAGCAGACAGGGAAAAGAAAGAAAGAAAGACAGAAGCAGGACAGCGGCAAGAAAAACAAGGACGGAGCAAGAAAUAGUAAAGUGUCAAAAGAGAGUCAGGGUGAAGCAAAUGAAAUAACAGGUAAAAGUUGCUGUGGGGCUGGUUGAAACCACAUUGAGAACAGCUGAGAGGAGCAGCCUGCAGCAGGCAGUUGUCAUUGGCCAGAGAUGAAAGCUAUGUGGCGAGGACUGGAGGACCUGACUAGUGUUAAUUUUAGGGAGCCCACCCCAGCAAACAGGAAAGCAUGGAGGCAGUCAACCUUUACUCUCACUCGGCUAAAUUUAAGAAGAGAAGCUUGGAAGUAAGGCUCAAGGUCUCUAGACGGACCUACUUGUCAGAGUAAAAGAAGAAGCUCUAUUUUUUGAGCCACUUAGGUGUGGAGUUGGUGAGUUUACACCACAAUAAAAGUUGCUGUGACUAUGAGUUUGACAUCAGAUAAUUGGAAGUGGUAUGAUGGAGAAAAAUAAACAAUAUUUGGAUAUAA